GAGUUUGAUUAUGGCUCAGGAUGAACGCUGGCGGCGUGCGUAACACAUGCAAGUUGGACGACGGUGCUAUGAAGUGGUAACACGGAAUGGUAUACGGAGUAGCGGACGGGUGAGUAAAGCAUGAGGAGCUGUCCUGUUGAGGGGGAUAACGUUCGGAAACGGACCCUAAUACCCCAUAGGCCGAGAGGUUAAAGGCAGAGAUGCGCGACAGGAGGUACUCGUGUCCUAUCAGCUAGUUGGUGAGGUAACGGCUCACCAAGGCGACGACGGGUAGCCGGCCUGAGAGGGUGACCGGCCACACUGGAACUGAGACACGGUCCAGACUCCUACGGGAGGCAGCAGUGGGGAAUAUUGGGCAAUGGGAGGAAUCCUGACCCAGCGACGCCGCGUGAACGAAGACGGCCUUCGGGUUGUAAAGUUCUUUUAUGUGGGAAGAAGGAAGUGA
rnacentral:rRNA from 1 species